AAAUUGAAGAGUUUGAUCAUGGCUCAGAUUGAACGCUGGCGGCAGGCCUAACACAUGCAAGUCGAACGGUAACAGGAAGCAGCUUGCUGCUUUGCUGACGAGUGGCGGACGGGUGAGUAAUGUCUGGGAAACUGCCCGAUGGAGGGGGAUAACUACUGGAAACGGUAGCUAAUACCGCAUAACGUCGCAAGACCAAAGAGGGGGACCUUCUGGCCUCUUGCCAUCGGAUGUGCCCAGAUGGGAUUAGCUAGUAGAUGGGGUAA
rnacentral:rRNA from 1 species